rnacentral:misc_RNA from 1 species
GCCUAUGUUUUGAAUCACUGUCCCCAUGUUCUGAUGAUCUUACCAUAUCCACUUCAUCCAUCAAGUACAUAUCAUUAUCAGCCAUUUCAUCCAUGUCAGGAAGAUACCAAGCAUCUGCAGAAACCACCCAAAGUGCUAGUGACGUGAUUCGGGUUACCAAUUCCAGAAGCUUAUUCAAUACUUGUCUCAUCUCUGGAAUGCUGGACAAGAUAGCAUCAGAAUUCCAAUCCAAUUCAUCAAAAGUAUAUCGUAGGGUAAGUAACACACCAUGAACAAAGCUUGUUUUGCAAGCUUCAGAAAGAUCCCUCUCUCCCUCCUCCACAAAACUAUUCAGCCAAUCAACUAGUGAUUUAAUAUACUCGACUACAGGAGGCCUAGACUCAAUAAUUUGAUUAUCACCAUUAACUAGUUCAGAUUGAUAUUGAAAACAAACAACAUCAUCAGCAGCUCUGACAAUCCACCCUAGCUCUACAGCAUAUUUCCUGAAUACAAGCCUCAAUGUAAGUGCCCCAGCAUCACUUUCCCUCACACGUGGACUGCAAACUAAGUUCUUAGCCCAUAUAACCACUCUCCGGACCAUGUCUUCACUUGAAAUUCCAGGAAGGGGGGUAGGAAAAUAAAGCAAUAUGCGAAAAGAACUCUCUCUCAGCCUGUCCCAACUAUCAAUAAUAGAUCCAACUAAUAACAAAGUUGAAUCAGGUAAAGUAAUUCCUCUGCUGUAUGG